AGCUGGAGUUACUAGUAAUCGCAGAUCAGAAUGCUGCGGUGAAUGCGUUCCCGGGUCUUGUACACACCGCCCGUCACACCACGGGAGUUGGAGACGCCCGAAGCCGAUUAUCUAACCUUUUGGAAGAAGUCGUCGAAGGUGGAAUCAAUAACUGGGGUGAAGUCGUAACAAGGUAGCCGUAUCGGAAGGUGCGGCUGGAUCACCUCCUUUCUAAGGAGA
rnacentral:rRNA from 1 species